CGCACGUAUCUAGGAACAAGGCCGCUACACUGUCUUUGGAGUCGCUCGUGAUGUAAGCUCUCGGGUCAUAACUAACACAAGGCAACAUGUGCUGUCGUGGUUGAUUCGCCUGUGUAGCCGUUAUAUGAUUGUGAAUUGAAAUGUUAGUGUAAUAGUGUUCAUAGUACUUCAACAUAUAAACGUGCCACGUAGAUGCUGUAUGCCUACUUUCCACAAUUUUCCGCCGUUUUACAAUUUAAGUCACCAUUUUAUCACCUGUUUUGCUUGUUUCUUUUCUUCUUACGUUUUUAACGUCUGUAGGCUGCAGAGCAGCGUACGGUGGUGAAGGGGGGGGGGCGGGAAUCGAAAUGCAGUAAAGGAAAAAAGAAGACUUUAUGCCUGCUAGUACAGGCAAUUAUACUGCUCGGGAAAGAGUCAGUACAUUCCAUUUCCCUCGUGGUGAAGAUGCAUGGAGAGAAUGGAUAAGAGCAGUUCACCGUGACAAUUUCAUCCCUUCAGAUCACUCUGUGAUUUGUGAGCUGCAUUUCCAUGCACACGAAAUAGAAAGAAGUACAUCGUCAUAUGAUGCUAAGACUGGAAGAUUAAUUACACGCCUCUUGAUCGUCCACGUCUAAGGAAAGGUGCAAUACCAGCACUAUUGCCAGAAUGUCCUGAUUAUUUAACUACACCACAAGAAGGAAAAUAUCAUUCUUUUCGUUGAAGAUGGCGGGCUGGCAGAUAUCUGGUGCAACUCAAGUAAUUGUCUUUUCCUCCUCAUUUUCCCGAAAUUUUUGACAAGAAUAGGAUAUGAAUCUAAGGUCCAGUCAGCAUAUGUGUUGCAGUUGGGUUGCUGUUCCUCUUGACAACAUACCAGAAUGCUGCCAUUUUGGGGCUGUGGGAUGACAAGAGGAGCUGUGGAUGGCGGAAUGUUGUUGUAGACUUCCAAUAAAUUCCAAUUUUAUGUCUA